CGUAGGCAGCGAGCGUUGUUCGGAGUUACUGGGCGUAAAGCGUGCGUAGGCGGUGUCUUAAGUUUGUUGUGAAAUCUCCCGGCUUAACCGGGAGGGUGCGGCGAAUACUGAGAUGCUGGAGUGCGGGAGAGGUAAGCGGAAUUCCUGGUGUAGCGGUGAAAUGCGUAGAUAUCAGGAGGAACACCUGCGGUGUAGACGGCUUACUGGACCGUAACUGACGCUGAGGCACGAAAGCGUGGGUAGCAAACAGG
rnacentral:rRNA from 1 species